GGGAGGAGGGUUCAAAUGAGGGAGGAGAUGGUUUUUUUAUUAUUAUAGAGUUUGGAUUAAGUUUUAUUUUCCUUUUCAUUUAUUUUAGAUAUUAGGAAAUUUUUAUUAAUUUAGAGAUUUUUUUAAAAAAAUAAAUGAAAUAGGUCGAUUUCUGGGAUAUUUAGGGAAAUAGACCUAUUUUGAAGAGAGAGAGAAAACGUGUGUUGCUGGACGCAUUUUCUACUGAGGUGGC
rnacentral:lncRNA from 1 species